CCCCGAACGCAAAUACUCCACCGAGGCACGGGGAAGCCACGAGCAGCAGAGGAAAACGGAGGGGGCCAAAUCAGAGCUUGCCGGGCUUGACAGCUCCUCUUGCAACGUCCAAGGUGGGCGUAAUGUCCAACAAAAAGGUGUAUGACCAGAGCUUCGCAAUGAAGAGCACACUCUGCUUUCAAAUCAAUCAGGAAGCCCCCGAAAAAAUGGCCACCUGAGAUGGACACACCCAUCUAUACACAGGUGUAGAGAACAGCUUUGCAAAUAAAGUGCCAAGGAGAUAUUACAACGAGCUGAGACCUAUUAUACGCUCAAUAUGAGUCACCCCGGGAUGCUGCCAAGGUCAAUUGGAUGUCAGUACCAUUGACUCAGUAGGUAUCGAUGGACUUCCACUGCAAUGUGUACGAGGUCACAUUUAAGGGAGAUAACCACCACCCUACCCAGGAUCUCCACUAAGGAUGGAACUCAGGGAUGCUACUACUGAACAAUCUGGAAGGAGCGAGAGGAAUCGCCUCAGUUUAUCCUCCAUCACCCGAACAAUCACAUUCUCACCUGUCUCCUGGGGAAAAUUGCUUCAUUAUCAAGUGAACUUCUCUAUGAAGGAAUUUGCAGUUGCUUCUUCCACGGGAACACCAAAUUGUCAGUCCAAAUGUCCCUUUGCUGUUCCCGGCAGUAAUUCCUCUAUGUUACCAUGAGCAUUGUGAGCCCUUCUUCAUCAUCUUCUUCUCCUGAAAGAAAAACUGAAGCAUCCCACUCUUUCCUCCCCAGUGACUAACUCCUUUCAGGCCCCAUUAUCUUUGUCCUCCUGAUUCUCCAUGCUUACCCAAGCAUUCAAGUUUUACAGUGAAAGACGAUGUGUCAUGUCAUAGAAAGAGGGAUGUAGGAAAGGAUGGAGUGAGAAAGGAAAGCACGGAGGGAUAAAGAAAGGGGAAGAAAGAGAAGAAAAGGAAAACUUGAUAAGAUGAAGGCACUGAUAAAAGUAUCUUCCAAAGACCACAGAUUUUUACAUGACUGUAAAGAUUUUUCUGUUUUAUUGUAAUUCUAAGGAAGAAGAUGCCAACAAGAGAGUUUGCAUAACUCAUAUCAUGUUCAGAGCCACCCAUUCAAACAACAUCCACGUAAUGCCUACCAUAUGGCGCUGGGCUGCAGGUCAAAGCUCUCAGCCAUAGUCACUGCCCUCGGGCUUCUCAGAGCUGUUGGGCUUGUCUCUUGAGCCUUGGUCACUGCCUUAACUGACCAGGACCUAUGAACAUAGACUGAGAUUAAGGGGGAAAGAGAGCUGAACCCUCAUGUUUCUUUCUCCUGAGUGUAAGGCAAUACCAAGUCCUCACCCAGCACGGACACCCAGGUCCCAGUCCUGCCGAGCCACUGCUCCCAAGCCUGUUCCCUUUGAGUAUGGAGUGAAACCAUCUGGAAACAUGCAUGAAACCUAACAAAACAGUAUGAAGAAUUAAAGGCUUCU